GACGAACGCUGGCGGCGUGCUUAACACAUGCAAGUCGAACGGAAAGGCCCUGCGUUUGUGGGGUGCUCGAGUGGCGAACGGGUGAGUAACACGUGAGUAACCUGCCCUUGACUUUGGGAUAACUUCAGGAAACUGGGGCUAAUACCGGAUAGGAGCUCCUGCUGCAUGGUGGGGGUUGGAAAGUUUCGGCGGUUGGGGAUGGACUCGCGGCUUAUCAGCUUGUUGGUGGGGUAGUGGCUUACCAAGGCUUUGACGGGUAGCCGGCCUGAGAGGGUGACCGGCCACCAUGGGCCUGAGAUACGGCCCAGACUCCUACGGGAGGCAGCAGUGGGGAAUAUUGCACAAUGGGCGGAAGCCUGAUGCAGCAACGCCGCGUGCGGGAUGACGGCCUUCGGGUUGUAAACCGCUUUCGCCUGUGACGAAGCGUGAGUGACGGUAAUGGGUAAAGAAGCACCGGCUAACUACGUG
rnacentral:rRNA from 1 species